rnacentral:rRNA from 1 species
UACGUAGGGGGCAAGCGUUGUCCGGAUUUAUUGGGCGUAAAGAGCGUGUAGGCGGCCAUGUAGGUCCGUUGUGAAAACUCGAGGCUCAACCUCGAGACGCCGAUGGAAACCAUGUGGCUAGAGUCCGGAAGAGGCGAGUGGAAUUCCCGGUGUAGCGGUGAAAUGCGCAGAUAUCGGGAGGAACACCAAUGGCGAAGGCAGCUCGCUGGGACGGUACUGACGCUGAGGCGCGAAAGCGUGGGGAGCAAACAGG